CGUGUGACUACGAUUCCGUGGAUUGAACUGCCGCAUCGUAAAACUAGGGCAUCACGCAUGACCGCAUCUGCCAUCGGAAGCAACCGCCGCGUCUGUCCACCGUGGAUGAUCUCUGCCUGCGGCCUGCCGCCGAUCGACUGCCUACACACGUUCUCUGCGGUACGCGAUCGGCAACGAUACAUUGCGCACAGCCCAUCUAGCAGGCAAGUCACCAACGGCUGCGUUGUGCGUGCGCAAUACCCAUCAUCUCAUCUCAUUGUGAUUUGUCAUAUAUUUUUUUAAUCUUUUCUCCAAAUUGUUUAACCAUAAAUAGAUGAUUGUUUUUAUUUCUUAAUUUUGUUUUAAUUAAAUUAUUGGAAACCAAUACUAAUAUGAUUGCCUGGUCAGUUUCUUUUCACGUAAAUUCUUGAUGCAAAUAAAGAAAUAUGUCAUCAUUUCUCGCUUCCAAAAAGGCGAUCGUAGGGACAUAUCCUAAUUCUUCUUAUACUUGAAAUAUAGGUAAAUAUGUCACUACAAAGAAUAAUUUACAGUUUUGUGAUGAACUUUUAUGUCUUAUUAUAUCGUUGUGUAGAAAAAAAACUUCGCAUACCCAUGUCGAAAAUCCUGGCUCCGCCACUGUCAUCUGUCCAAAAGAUGAUGCAGCUCAGCAGCGUUUUUACACUGAAUGAGACGUGCAGGCAUCUCAGGUAAUUCCCUUGGUAUUGUUUCAAUUAGCUUUCGUAAUUAGAUUUGGUUCUUAGAUUAUCCAAUGACCAUAGACUAUACAUCAAAUUUGUACCAAUGACGAGAAGGAUAAGAAUUUCUGCAAAAUCCUAUAUUCCUUGACAUUACCUGCUGGCUCGAGCGCGAGCAUCACCUGCGCCGCCGUGGUCAUCAAUCCAAAAGCUGAUGCAGCUCAGAUGCGUUUUUACACCGAAGGAGACGUGCAGGCUGCUCAGAGGCUGUUGUUGUCAUCGACAUUGAAAUUGUUCUUCUGCUACUGGAGUUAUUGGAGGUUAUGUUUUUUCAUCUCAGUUUUCAAUAGGGCCUUUAUAUAUGUAACCCUGUGUUUUCUGUAGUAUGUCAACACGUUCAAAGCAGUGUUCAAACUAUCGAUAAGCUCAAGAGAAAGGUACGACUGACCAAUGUAACAGACCUAUGGAGUUUUAUGAUUGCAGUAUCAAUCCAUAAUAAAAUGAAGAGGAAAAAGACUAAAGGAGUUUCUGUUCAGACAUAUAAAGUAGUAUCAAUCCAUAAUAAAAGGAAGUUUUAACAUAGUGGAACUUUGAUCUGAUCUUGAGUCAUUGUUAUGAUCAACAUUACAUGCUAGAGGACCAAACUAACCAGUACGCUCUUAAAUUAAUGAUAUUUCAAAUCUCUUCUUCGUUGGACUAUAGACCACAGCCCUUUCGAACAAUCAUAUAACUACAAAAAAAGUUGAUGCUUUCAUAUUUGUGUUAUUAUAAUUUCAUUAUUUAUAAGUUUUCAACCGAGUACAAUGCUUUCAGGACCUCCGACUAUUACCUUAUCCUGUAGUCAUUUAGUUCACCCAUUAGUCCAUCCAUGCUUUAGCUAUAUUAACGAUUUUUUAAUGGUCUAGAAACAAUUGUUGCAAGUUUUAGGGUAUCUAUAACCCACGUGUUAUAUCGAUAAAUUUUGCAACUACUAAUUGUGGGUUUCUACUAAUUAUCUUUACUACUUUCAGUGAUAUAUCUACAUGGAGUUUAUGAUUUCCUUUGGAGUUGUUACUCUUUUUUGAAUCAAUAUAUUUGUUAGAUUAGUAACAUUUAUGCAAGUUUACAAAUUACAACCACAAGAGAGCAGAGCAGACAUCUCGAUCGCAAGAGGAUUCAUGUCAUACUUCAGGUUAUUUAGUAUGCCCUUUGAACUAGGCAGUACGGUGAACAAGGAAAAUCAUGGUUUUCCCACCCACAGAAGAUUCAUCAUGGCAUAGCACAAUGCUGCAAGGGGAAACAUCAGUAUGACCUGCAACGACAAGAUGGCCAGCAUGCAUUUGUCGGCAGCAACCUGACUUUGUUGUCAACAAGUUGACAAAGACCAAAUCAACUUUCAGAUUAUUUCUAGAAGAUGCUAUAUACAAAUCCUUUAUGUGCAAUUUUCGGCCUCGCACAUCUUUCACCGUUUUCAAGCCAACGUCGUAGUCCAGUACAACCACUUCCUCCUUCAUUUAUCUCUCUCUUGCUGACUCCCUUCCUGCUUCCUUCAGGCAGUUUCGUACUGCAAACAUGAGCAAAGUCCAAUUUAUCCGCACCCAGAAGAUGGCGGAAAGCACAUUUUGCUGCCGGGACAAGAAAUAGUUUUUCUGUCACCUGCAAUGGCAUUAUCCACGUCUGUUGAUGUGAUUGAUACUUACAGCAGAGUGGAGACCUAACUGGAAAUAGCAGGCAGGUUUGACAGUAACAGAACUACUCCAUGACACAUCCAAUGGUAGAAAAAGGAUAUCCAAGUGCAAAUUAGAAUUACCAGAUCAUGAAUUAUACCUUCAGUGCAUAUUUUUUGCCCAAUGGCCGGGAUGGGUGGUAUAGUCGAUGGGAAAUUUAAUGGGCCCUUUCUUCCACACAUAAUGAAAAUUACUAUCUAUACACACACAAUGAGAUUGUGAAUAUAUCUUGAACCAGUGCCUUCAUCAUACAAGAGUUACUUUCAGUUCUUUUCUAAUUUCCUUCUAUUGUCUUCAUCACAGCCAUAUGAUUUCAAGCCUGGGUAUGUGCUUCGCAUAUGUAGUUCCUUUCAAGUGGUGUAAAAUGAUUCUAAAUUAUUAUUUUUAGCAAUGUUGUCUCUAUUAGCUUCACUUCAUUUGCAAACAAAAUCUGAAGCGAUUUUGUUAGGGGUGGA